GACACCAUUAUGUUAAUGUUAGCUGGGGGUGGGUAUAAUUUCUGGAACGUUCCAACAGGAAUCCGUUGUCAACGGACAACGCAUACAAAGUUGUAUAGCGGCAGUGUAAAAUAUCAGGUAGACAGCGGGCAAUUUUGUUGAGUUUUUCACUCACCACGUUUAUUCCGAAAAAUGUCUGUCCUCACUCUGGUAGCCUGUGGACAAACAAUAAUAAGCUACGUGUUUCACCACGCUCUCCACCGGGGUCAGUGUCGCACCAGACGGCGGGCAUCAUCGGUCCCGGGAAUCUUCCAUUUCACCCCUGCCUUUACACAGGAACAGUGGGUUAACGGCCUUGUUCAGGGGCAGAACGACAGAUUUGUACCUUGUCAGCUCAGGAUUCGAUCUUGCAACCUUUCGGUAACUAGUCCAAUGAGGUAAGAGUUUUCAUGAAGUGCUUUAAGAGGCUAGUUAGGGAUCAUAUCAUCUCCACCUUACCCAACACCCUAGACCAGUGGGGUGGGGGGAUACAUUUGGGGAUAGAAAAAUGCAUUUUGUGUAAACUUAAACCACUAAAACCGAUUUUUAAAAUAUAUAUAUAUUUUGUAAUAUAAUGGACAUUUUCCAAUAACAGCCCAUCAUUUUUCAGAAUUGACAAUCAACACAGUAAAAGCUAGACAAUAAGGCCCCCAUUGAUUUUGUUAAAAGGUUUGAGAAUAACACAGCAUUCGACAUGUCAAAAUGCGUAGAAAACUGCCAAAUGUUCUCUACCUCAAGGCAAAAUGUAUAGAAUUGCAGAAAAUUGGCUUUAACAUUUUUAAACUUUAUUUCAGCUCCAUGGCAGGAUGUGUGGAAUUUCAGGAGACUAGCUUUGAAACUGCAAAAAUGUCUCUUCGCUGCCAAGAUAACUUUUUUUACUUAUUCUUUGGUCUGAAUGUUUUUUCACCACUCAACCCUUAUGGUGGGUCGUGACUCAAAAUACCCCUCCCCUACACUAAUUACAAUUUGCAUACCGCCCCAAAAGAUCCAUGGAUAAUGCGAUCGCCAUCGCACUGCACACUGCCCUGUCCCAUCUGGACAAGAAGAAUACCUGUGUAAGAAUGCUGUUCAUUGGCUACAGCUCAGGCUUCUACGCCAUAAUGCCCUCCAAGCUCAUCACUAAGCUUGGGGCUCUUUGUCUGAAACCCGCCCUGUGCAACUGGGUCCUGGACUUGCUGACCCCAUAUGGUGAAGAGGGAGAGAGCCCACCGUCAAUUCAUGAAUCUCCCGGUCACGGUCGGCACGGGUAUCGAACCAGCAUCUGUAGCAACGUCACUGAGAGUGAGUGUCUUAGACCGCAGCGCCACUCGGGAGGUCCCAUCCACAAAUGUUUAAUGCUGAUCAAUUGCCUUGCACAAAGUAUCUAUUGUCCUGCUAAUAGCCCAUAAUGGCGCUGUAAAUCGUGACUGGUCAGGAGUAGGCUACAGUACUACAGUAAGAGCAAAAUAAUCCUAACAUUUCCACACCCUAAUUGUAGUCUAACCAAUACCCAAAUGGAGAUUUAGUGAAAAUAAUAAUCUAAUUGAUUUAUCAAGACCAGACCCCAUGCUUGUCUCCCCAUGCUUGUCUCCCCAUGCUUGUCUCCCCAUGCUUGACCUCUGAAUGCGGAGUAUUUUCCAGUAGGCAACAAUGUGUUUACCUUCAUUAGCCUACUUUGUUCCAUUAUUUCUGUCAUUCAGUGAUAUUUAUUCCCAUAGUAAUUUGUUAUGAAUUUCUAAGGAAAUUAACAUCUGCAUUUUGAAAGAGUAUUUUUAUAAUGAUUUAUUAACUAAAGCACAAAUAUGUUGAUGAAGAAAUAUAGUACUGUACAGGAAAUGCUUUAUCCAACAUUUUUGCGGUUGCAUGAGGUCGCCUGCACACACUUUAAACAUUUGGAUAAUAAAGCAUUUAAAGCAUUUUGAAGAUAGAA